rnacentral:rRNA from 1 species
GACGAACGCUGGCGGCGUGCCUAAUACAUGCAAGUCGAACGAAGCUGUUUUAACUGGUGCUUGCACCGACUUAAACAACUGAGUGGCGAACGGGUGAGUAACACGUGGGUAACCUGCCCCAAAGCGGGGGAUAACAUUUGGAAACAGAUGCUAAUACCGCAUAACCACAGAAACCACAUGGUUUCUGUGUCAAAGAUGGCUUCGGCUAUCACUUUGGGAUGGACCCGCGGCGUAUUAGCUAGUUGGUAAGGUAAUGGCUUACCAAGGCAAUGAUACGUAGCCGAACUGAGAGGUUGAUCGGCCACAUUGGGACUGAGACACGGCCCAAACUCCUACGGGAGGCAGCAGUAGGGAGUCUUCCACAAUGGACGAAAGUCUGAUGGAGCAACGCCGCGUGAGUGAAGAAGGUUUUCGGAUCGUAAAACUCUGUUGUCAGAGAAGAACGUGUGCGAGAGUAACUGUUCGUGCAGUGACGGUAUCUGGCCAGAAAGCCACGGCUAACUACGUGCCAGCCGCCGCCGUAA